rnacentral:rRNA from 1 species
UGCGUAGGCGGAUUAAUAAGUCAGUGGUGAAAUCUUUCGGCUCAACCGAGAAACUGCCAUUGAUACUGUUAAUCUUGAGUUCGGUUGAGGUAGGCGGAAUGUGUAAUGUAGCGGUGAAAUGCUUAGAUAUUACACAGAACACCAAUUGUGUAGGCAGCUUACUAGACCGAUACUGACGCUGAGGCACGAAAGCGUGGGUAGCGAACAGGAUUAGAUACCCUGGUAGUCC